UACGGAGGGGGCUAGCGUUGUUCGGAAUUACUGGGCGUAAAGCGCGCGUAGGCGGCCACUUAAGUCGGAUGUGAAAGCCCCUGGCUCAACUGGGGAAGUGCACCCGAAACUGAAUGGCUUGAGUGCGAAAGAGGGUCGCGGAAUUCCCGGUGUAGAGGUGAAAUUCGUAGAUAUCGGGAGGAACACCAGUGGCGAAGGCGGCUCACUGGCCCGGUACUGACGCUGAGGCGCGAAAGCGUGGGGAGCAAACAGG
rnacentral:rRNA from 1 species